CCUACGGGGGGCUGCAGUGGGGAAUAUUGCACAAUGGGCGCCAGCCUGAUGCAGCCAUGCCGCGUGUGUGAAGAAGGCCUUCGGGGUGUAAAGCACUUUCAGCGGGGCGGAAGGCGGUGAGGUUAAUAACCUCAUCGAUUGACGUUACCCGCAGAAGAAGCACCGGCUAACUCCGUGCCAGCAGCCGCGGUAAUACGGAGGGUGCAAGCGUUAAUCGGAAUUACUGGGCGUAAAGCGCACGCAGGCGGUCGGUCAAGUCGGAUGUGAAAUCCCCGGGCUCAACCUGGGAACUGCAUUCGAAACUGGCAGGCUAGAGGCUUGUAGAGGGGGGUAGAAUUCCAGGUGUAGCGGUGAAAUGCGUAGAGAUCUGGAGGAAUACCGGUGGCGAAGGCGGCCCCCUGGACAAAGACUGACGCUCAGGUGCGAAAGCGUGGGGAGCAAACAGGAUUAGAUACCCGUGUAGUC
rnacentral:rRNA from 1 species